CGAUUCGUCUUAAGUAUAAUGCAUAUCGAGUGUGUUAACGUGUCGUAUACGUGAUUUUGAUACUUUUUAAUUGUAACGUAUUUGACAAGAUUGAGCUGAGCAUUGGGUGAAAAUAACUUCCAGAGCAUCCGAGAAGCUUGUAGCAUCAGUAAGAAUGAAUUUCAAGUGCUGUCUGCUGCUGUUAUCGCUGCUGCUAGUCGGCGCUAGCGCUAAACCGCGCGCAGAACCGCCUUGCUGGACGUGGCCCGACGAGCCACUACCUCCCUGCGCCCAAGAUUUAAGCUGAUGUGGCAAAAUCUACUGUAAUCGACUGCUCGCUACUCCCCACCAGGAGCAAAAAUAUGUUGAGAGUCGUUUAUUUUUCGUAAUUAUUUCGUGCCAUUUGCGAAAACAAUUAAACUUCCAUAAAGUAUACAAAUAA